AUUUACACAUUUCUAUUGUUGUACAUGAAUUAAAUUACAGCGACAAACGUUUAUUCAACAUAAACGACUGCCAAAAGGGUCUGAGAGCAAUGCAUUGGUCCAAAUUUAACCAUCAGGAAAUUUACAUCAGGAAUGCAGUACAAUCAUACAAGUACUAUACCUAAGUGUAUACGGAAACACCGGAUCCACUCGGAUCUCCCUGCAACGCGUGUCCCCAGUUACCACAAACCCCCCUUCUACAUGAUGGUCCUACGUAUUGGCCAAAACCGUUGGCACUGGCGCACACAUUGAGCAACGUGAAGAGGAUGCAUUAAAGGACGCGUCGAAUCGAAGACAACAUGUUCUGGUAA